CUGGCUUCUGUCAGCCCCAGGAUUUUGUGAGGAGGUGCCCUGUUGCUCCUUAGCAAAGCUUUCCCUGGGUGUCACUGUAACCAGAUACACAAACAUCAAGGCCCAGCCUUCAAGACCCUGUGGAGGUCCCCUAGGCCUCCUCCCUCUGCAAGAGAAGCCGGUGCCUGAAGCUCUGGACCUUCCUACUUGUCAUCCAAAGCGGGAUUUCCAGCCUUGUGAGGAGGGUGGGCAGCUCGUGUCCAGCACAGAGACCAUGUGGGCAGCUGCCAGUGAAAGUGAUCCCUGAAUUGCCUGCAGCUCCUGUCCUGCAGAACCAGCAGCCUCCAGGCUUCCCACACUCAUGUGCCAAUAGAUGCUUUCUUCAGAAGAAAAGAAUUUGGAGAAUGUUGAGGAAGAGGGGAAAAGUGCAGGAGAAACGGAGAGCUGGAUCCUCAUCUAACAGAGGACCUGCAUCUGCUUCUCUGUUGGAUGUAGCGGGUAGUACAAGAAAACCCCCAUAACGCUUUGUCUGUAGUGAAGCAAUGCACCAAAAGACCUGUUUUAAUGCUUCAAAUUCAGCACCCCUGUGAACUCCAAUCUCACACCUGCUCCGUGCGAGAUGGGUUAUGGAGAGUGGAGACAAGCGGGUGCAUCCAGCGGAGCCACUGCUUUGCUCCUCUCCCUGCCUGCAGGACAGGCUCUGGCUGCCUGUGAGCUGGUGUGGCUGCAGACUGGGGCUGUAAAACUGUGCUGUGUGACCUGAUGAUCUCCCUGGAGUUUCCUGGUGUUUCUGUUUUAUGGUCCUUUCACACCUUCCCAGCCUUCCCAGUGCUUGCACGACUGGAAUGCAGCACCAGACUCCAGGCCAAGACAGGUGAAAUGCUUGUAAAGUAACUGGGAAAUGAAAGAUUUUGCUCCCCUCCUCACCCAUUUUGGAUUUCCAUGGGAUUGCUAGCAUGACAGGGUUAUAGUUAUAUUUGAAGGAGCACAAGAUGUGAAUCACUGUGUGUAGGCUGGUAUUUCAAAUGUGACUGACAGUUGCUUUUCAACACUUGAAUAUCAAUAUGGUGCUGGUAGGUAUCUGUGAAUCUUUUCAACUGGCCACAGCAAUGCAGAGAAAGGCAGAUCUCACGUCCACGUUCUACUUGCUUUCUGGUAUCAGGCUCUAACUUCUGGAAUUUAGAACCACUUUUAGUCAUAAUGUCAUUUAAUCGUGUCUUUAUGCUUUCUUCCCCUUUUGUAAAUAAUUGACAUGAGAAAGGAAAAUACUAAAGAGGGUGGUGGUAGAAAAUGAACAGUGAAAAACAGUAAAUGCAAUGUCUGCCCCUUUCUCUACCUAUUUCUGAGUUUAGUUUAUUCAGAGCAUGUGAAGUAGCACAUUGUCUUUUCCAUGCAGGGAGAAACUGUGACUGAAGAUGAUAUAUGUUACCAGUACGAGUCUGAAUUUUUCAAUUUCUUUAAGAGUUAGCCUUGUAAUAAUGCCAGGUGUGAAUCUCAUCCAAGUAUUCAAUAUUUUGCCCU
rnacentral:lncRNA from 1 species